UUGAUUCUGUGCGGAACAGGGACGAUGUGGAGGUUGGAGGAGAUGGGGAGGUGACGGUGAAUGGGAGCAGCGGGACGCUGCGGGGGCGAGCUUUCUACAUGGAUGCCAGCCGCUAUACCGAUGGGAGCGAGGGGCGCCGCCGCCACACCAACGGGAGCGAGGGCCGCCGCCGCCGCUCCUCCUCUGAUGGACAUGCUGCACGGACGCGAGCGCGGGCUGCUGCAGCAGCUCGCCGGACCAUCUCUGACGCAUGCGAGGCCCACGCACUAACGUGAGGUUCUUCUUUACCUUAACACUACUUUGAUUAGAUUUUUCUUUACCUUCACAUCAAACCGUUGGUUGGGUGUAGGAAGCUGCUAAUGGGACCUAAGCAUUGGUUGCUCAUUGCAAUCUGGGUUAACUGAAACACCAAUUUUUCCCACCUGUUCAAUUAGAGGAACCUGCACUUGCGACAACAAAAUUAAUAAUGACAAAAAUGAUGAACAUCAGUCAAAGUUCAUAGGCAGAAUCCUCAUGGUAGAUUUGGGUAAAAACUCACAAAUACAAAAGAGUAACAAAAAAACAAGACUAUACUUGUGCUCCUAAUUUCGCUGUUGGGGGAUUGGAGUAAUUUUUAAAUGCUACUACUAAGAAGGGAGAAUAGUAUCUUGAUUAUUAAGAUUCUUUCUUCGUAUUGUGCUUGGAGUAGGUUGAUUAUAAAUUUUGCAAUCCUGCUCAAUAGGUGCAAGAUGUAUGAUAAUUUUUUCAAUGGAAACUACAGUGAGCUAUCUAUAUCUUCUGGUUAUAAGCGUUCUGGCAUCAUCUACGAUUUUGCUUGUGCACAUGUCAGAGAUUGGUCAUGCUCCUUCACUGUUGAUUUGUAUUCCUCAUAAAGUUCUCCACUGAUGGUGUUAGAUUUUUUGAUUAAAAUGAUAUUAUGGUUGUCAUAUAUUUGGUACUAAGAAGGGACUAUGAUGAUUUUUUAGUUUUACAAGCUCUUAAUAUGGUUAUCAAAAUAUAUUCUAUUACUGAAAUGACCUUUUAAAUGAUGUUAGGAAUCUGCACUUUCCCAUAUAUAUACCACGAGGUACUCCUGAAGUUGCAAGAAAAAUACUACAGAAAAGCUUGUGAACUUUUGGAGGAUGUUUUGAAGACUAACAAUUGAAGAUUUACUACAUUUAAGCACCCUGGUUAAACCCAUGUAUGCCUUUUAGUUUUUCGGGCAAAACCUAAGUAUGCCUUAACAAGGAGAUUUGUAAAUUUGUAUAUUCUUUCUUGUGUACAAGGUAUUGGACCGAUGUAUGCUUCUAUUCUUGUAUUUACUUCUUGCUUGGACACUUGAACUAAUGUAUGGGUGAUGUUUACUGACCAACUUUUAAUCUCCUUUGCAUGUAUUUCUAAGUUUGGAUAAUUUGUUGUUUUUGUUUUUAAUUUCUAAAAAUCCACUUAAUUUGCAAUGUUGCACAAAAAUUAUAUUUUGAGUAACUAAUAUUAGUAAUCAAAAUUACUUGUUCAAACCAGUUAUAGUGAGAGAGAAUAAGUAUCAUUUUGAGGGGCAAUUUUAUUUAACAACAGUUUCAUGUCCAUGCUAACAAAAAAAGAUCUUGCAACUCCAGCAACAUAGACCUAAAUAUAGUUCACUAGAUUUAUCUUUUCUAAAUGUUGAAUUGACCUCACCAUCUCAGUGUAAUAGUAGAUUUACAAUAUUUUUCAUAUUAUAUAAUUGUUGAUUGUGUGAGAUGGAAUUCCACUUGGCAGUGUUGGAGAAGGAUGCGUUGCUAGAAAAGAAGGGAGAGGGCGGGGCGACCAAACAAGAUAGGAGGAGAACCAGGCAAGAUAGUCAACUUCGAUGCGGUGCUUGAGCAGAGCCCAUGGAAUUCUUAUUAGAUCUAGAUGGGUCUCUUUAAUAAGUUGUGGUUAUCUGUAAUGGUGACCUGAAUGUCAUGUACAAACAUAUAUGAUUUAUUAUUAUUUUGACUGGAUAUGGUGUACCAACUCACAUGCAUGCAAACUAAUUCUAUUAGUCAAGAUGUGAUCUACUUAUUCAAUUUUGAAUUUUAACAAAACGUGUGUUACACGUGCACGCUUACUAGUUUUAAUAUAAAAUAAAC
rnacentral:lncRNA from 1 species